GGACACACCUAAACCAACCCCCAAACAACCCAUUUCAUUGGAUGGGUAGUAUAAAUACAAAGAGGGGAGAGAGAAUGACCCAUCUUCUUCCAAAUCCAGCAGCUGCAUGCCGUUCUUCCCUUCCCCUUUCACAACAGAAACGUGAAUCAGACCAGUAGAGAUUACUUUGUGAACUUGUGAGGGAGAGAUGAGACCUUGAGAGAGGAGUGGGCAGCUGCAUAGAGGAGAGGAAAAAGAGAGCUGAAAAACGUGAGAGGAAGAAGAAGGAGGAGAACCAGCAGCUGAAUAGUGUCAAACCUUCCUCAAACUUAGUUAAAUUCAGAAGGUGGUGCGGUCGGGAUUGGACCAUCAUCAAGACAGGAACGACCCACAGGUGGAGCAGGGACGUCACACCAACGAGAUGUCUAGGAUACCCGAUACACGGGAACCUACUUUUGCAAGGAAUUAAGUAGAUGCAUUCUAAAUCACAAUGUAUUUUGUAGGG